UCUUCCCUUAUUCAUCGCGAUAAAAUAUUACAUAUAUAAAAUGAGAAAAAAAACUGGCAAUCGUAACGAAAAGAAUAUUUUUUCCCAUCUUAAACGAUUCAAGUCGAGAAUCGUUACUCUGCUCGAAAUAAAUAGACACUAUCUAUAAAUAUUAUAAAAUAAGAAAAAGAGAUGAAUCUAAUAGUAUUAAUCUAACCGGUAUCUUAUUUUAUUUCCAGAAAUUACAAAAAAAAAAGAAGUAAACGAAUCACUGAAAACUGCUCAACCACCGAGCUCGUAGUUCCCAUUAAAACAAGCGGCGUCUCCGUGGAAAACAACAGAAAAACAAGAAGGAAGUGAAAAAAAGAAGAAAAAAAAGGAGAAGAAAAGAGGAAAGGAGCAAAGACGACGAUGCGGGGACGUUUACUUUGCUCCACCCAUCCUCUCCCUGUCCCUUCCUCCCUCCCUCUUUCGCUCUCUCUCUUAUCCUCACCCCCGAGGCGGCCCCGCGACUCCGCAAGAAACUCGAAGCUAUUUUUAUCAAAGGAACGAGGCGAGUGUCGCGGACGAUAAAUCAUUCGAAGGUUCCACCUACUGUAUCCACCCUUCUGAAGCAGCCUCGUCUCAUGGCACGGGGUAACGAGUAGCUUUCAUUGGCCGCGUGGGACGUCCCGGAAAAAG